rnacentral:rRNA from 1 species
GGAGGGUGCAAGCGUUAAUCGGAAUUACUGGGCGUAAAGCGCACGCAGGCGGUUUGUUAAGUCAGAUGUGAAAUCCCCGGGCUCAACCUGGGAACUGCAUCUGAUACUGGCAAGCUUGAGUCUCGUAGAGGGGGGUAGAAUUCCAGGUGUAGCGGUGAAAUGCGUAGAGAUCUGGAGGAAUACCGGUGGCGAAGGCGGCCCCCUGGACGAAGACUGACGCUCAGGUGCGAAAGCGUGGGGAGCAAACAGGGAUUAGAUACCCUGGUAGUCCACGCCGUAAACGAUGUCGACUUGGAGGUUGUGCCCCUUGAGGCGUGGCUUCCGGAGCUAACGCGUUAAGUCGACCGCCUGGGGAGUACGGCCCGCAAGGUUA